GAGGAAUAUUGGUCAAUGGACGGAAGUCUGAACCAGCCAAGUAGCGUGAAGGAUGACUGCCCUCUGGGUUGUAAACUUCUUUUAUACGGGAAUAACAUGAGGUACGCGUACCUUAUUGCAUGUACCGUUAUGAAUAAGCAUCGGCUAACUCCGUGCCAGCAGCCGCGGUAAUACGGAGGAUGCGAGCGUUAUCCGGAUUUAUUGGGUUUAAAGGGAGCGUAGGUGGGAUAUUAAGUCAGCUGUGAAAGUUUGGGGCUCAACCUUAAAAUUGCAGUUGAUACUGGUUUCCUUGAGUACGGUACAGGUGGGCGGAAUUCGUGGUGUAGCGGUGAAAUGCUUAGAUAUCACGAAGAACUCCGAUCGCGAAGGCAGCUCACCGGGCCGGAACUGACACUGAUGCUCGAAAGUGCGGGUAUCAAACAGGAUUAGAUACCCUGGUAGUCCGCACAGUAAACGAUGAAUACUCGCUGUUUGCGAUACACAGUAAGCGGCCAAGCGAAAGCGUUAAGUAUUCCACCUGGGGAGUACGCCGGCAACGGUG
rnacentral:rRNA from 1 species